UGGCGAACGGGUGAGUAACACGUGGGUGAUCUGCCCUGCACUUUGGGAUAAGCCUGGGAAACUGGGUCUAAUACCAGAUAGGACCAUGCUUUGGAUGGUGUGGUGGAAAGUUUUUUCGGUGUGGGAUGAGCUUGCGGCCUAUCAGCUUGUUGGUGGGGUAAUGGCCUACCAAGGCGCCGACGGGUAGCCGGCCUGAGAGGGUGUACGGCCACAUUGGGACUGAGAUACGGCCCAG
rnacentral:rRNA from 1 species